GGCCCAGAGGGGUAGUCAGGGAGCGGGGCCAGAGGGGUAGUCAGGGUACGGGCCCAGAGGGGUAGUCAGGGUACGGGCCCAGAGGGGUAGUCAGGGUACGGGCCCAGAGGGGUAGUCAGGGUACGGGCCCAGAGGGGUAGUCAGGGUGCGGGCCCAGAGGGGUAGUCAGGGUGCGGGCCCAGAGGGGUAGUCAGGGUGCGGGCCCAGAGGGUAGUCAGGGUGCGGGCCCAGAGGGGUAGUCAGGGUGCGGGCCCAGAGGGGUCUGAUAAAGUAGUGCACUAUAUUGGGAAUAGGGUGCCAUUUGGGAUGCAGUGGCAGUGUCUCUCCAGUCACAUAGACUGGUCCCAGACCUGUAGUAAGGUCAGACCAUCAUGCUAGCCAGAGGGGUUGGCUGAAGACAAAACAGAUCUGGGAACAGUGUUUAUGACUCUCCAGUCAGUAAUCUGUACUCAGCCUCAUCUGGCCUUAUACACAUUCUACACAUCCAGCAGUAGUCUGGGUGGUUCAGGAACUAUACAUCCAGCAGUAGUCUGAGUGGUUACAGUAACUAUACAUCCAGCAGUAGUCUGGGUGGUUACAGUAACUACACAUCCAGCAGUAGUCUGGGUGGUUACAGUAACUAUACAUCCAGCAGUAGUCUGGGUGGUUACAUAACUAUACAUCCAGCAGUAGUCUGGGUAGUUACAGUAACUAUACAUCCAGCAGUAGUCUGGGUGUUACAGUAACUAUACAUCCAGCAGUAGUCUGGGUGGUUACAGUAACUAUACAUCCAGCAGUAGUCUGGGUCAUUUCAGUAACUAUACAUCCAGCAGUAGUCUG
ensembl:lncRNA